AGGACAGAAAAAGAAACACCCUACACAAUGGGUGUAAAUUUCAAUCGCUCCUUUCAACACAUAAACAUUACUCCAGGAUUGUGUGUCAGUACAGGUCAGACCGGCUUCCCUCAUAGAGUCAGCCUGCACACAAAGCCCUUCCCACACACCGCUGCUCUCAGCAACAGCCAAAACAAGUUGUGAAAGGAACCACGACAGCGGCUCUCUCCGUCCGGGGGGUGAGAGGACCACCUCCGUCCUCCCCGCCCGCGACGGCCGAACUCCCCUGCGUCCACCAGACCGGCAGAAGUGCCGGGUUCGCGACGAGCCGCUGGGGUUCCGUCGGCAUUCGAGAUGCAGCUUGGAAGAGCUCCAGCCUGCAGGCGCAAGUGAAUCGUAAACACAUCCACACACAAGCAGAAGAGUGUUGACCGCUGAAGGGAUCAAUGACAUUUUGUCAACGCUGAAGGGGUUCGAGCACUGACAGGAGUCACGCAGCAGGAGCGCUGGGGAACACAAUAGGAUAAGGGGACGAGAUGGCACUACAUGAAGUGAAGCGAGCGAUCAGCCAUCAUCUCAUUGUGGUGAAGCAGGAUCAAAGGGUUGAAGCUUCAACUCCUGUUCUCUGCUCCUACGUUCCUGCAACAUUCCCCAUUCCUGUAGCUUCAGCCAAUGAAGUGCUUCACCAGCUGUCUAAGAGUCCGGGCCGCAGUUAUGAGCAGAUUGGAGUCGGACUCUGACCUGGCACUGGCGUCCAUUCCAACAGGCCUGCACUCGGCAGCUUCCCAGCCUCCGGAGAUGCAUUCUGACAGGAACCGGGGACAAACAGCGUUGUUCUGAGCUGGGCUCUCCUCCAACAACUCUCUGGCUUCCGAUGUAUCUCAUGUGCAAAGAUCGCAGAGAAAGACUCAAGGAUUUACUUGUCACAUGUCGAAACAUACAGUGAAGCAUCAAAACAAAUCAGUGAGGAUUGUGCUGGGCAGCCCACCAUGGCUCCAGGCCAACUUAUCAUAGCCACACCUCACUAACCUUAACCAUGCAUCUUUGGGAUGUUCGAGGAAACCGGUGCACCCAGAGGUCACAGGGAAAGUGUUACUAUCCUUACAGAUAAUAAGUAGUCUGUACGAUGCUGCAGCAGGCAAUGUAACUGUGUUAGGCCACCUGCUCCAUUAUCAUACUGCCCCACAAGCUCUGGGUCUCUCUCCUGGAACAACACCCCUCUUUCCUCUUGGUUGCCCCUUAGAAAUCUCUUUCAGCAAGCUUUUGGACGUGUGUCCCAACAACUUUAAAUGGGUCUUGCUGUCAGUAUGUGAUGGAACUGUGUGAGGCACUUCAGGACAUUUUGCUGUGUUAUAGAAAUGGAAGGCUUCAUUAUGAUAUUGGAUGUCUCAUUCUACACUCAACGCUGACUUUCACAAUCUGCCUCUUCGUGUUUUACAGAACAAUAAAGUCAAAAACUGAAGAAGUUAUUUUAAUGAACAGCUUUAAUGUGAUCAUUAAUUGCCAUAGAGAGGGGUUUCUAUGGCUUGCUAGAGCUCACAGAGUGAGGAUAUUAGACAGGCCGAACAAGGAGUCACGAGAAACUUCUUAACCCAGUGAGUGGUUAAAAUCUGCAACUUCAAAGUUCAACAUAAAUUUACUAUCAAAGUACGUACAUAUAUGUCACCUUAUACUAUCAUGAGAUUCAGUUUCUUGCAGGUGUCUACCGGAAAAUAAAGGAAUACAAUAGAACUUGCACAU